rnacentral:lncRNA from 1 species
CGCAAGGCCACGGCUGCCCGCUGGCCCGGAGACUGCGGCGCAUGGUCCGGGCCACUCGUCUGAGCCGCGGACCCGGGCGUCUCUCAGGCAGCAGAGCGGCCACUAGGCUCGAGCUGAUCCUCCCCCUCCAAGCUUGUCCCCCUCUGGGCUUUUGCACUUGCUGUCCCCCUGCCUGGAACCCUCUUCCCCCAGAUCUGCGUGUGGGUCCCCGUCGCCUCUUUGGGUCUCUGCUCAGUGUCCACUCCUCGGAGAGGCCUUGCCGGCCUCGGACAGGGCUGCCUCUGGAAGAACUCAACCUAAGACAGCUAGAGAAGAUUCCAGAAGAUUUCAGAUCUGGGGCAAGGACACCCAGUAGUGCUGGGUACCCUCUGCCGCCCCCACCAGAAGCCACCUCACGUCACUGGGCCACACUGGGGGAUCCCGGCCGGCCCUGGGCUUCAGAUGGGGGCGGAGGGCCCCCCACCGGCUCCCCUGCUUUGCCCAGUGCCAUGGCUGUCCAAGGAUGCUCAGUGCUGCUGGCAAACCAGCGCUGUUCCACCUUCCAGCGCCUCGUCCCCUUUCCACAGCCGGCUUCUCUGCCAGGCUGGGCCUCACGGUGCUGGGGACACAGCCGCCGGGUACCACGGAAACGUUUGCUGGAAGAGUUUGAAUUCAGGAGAUGGAGUCUAACAGGUAUUUGUCAUUCCGGACAAAGAAACACAGCCCCACUCCUCCUGCUGGGCCCGCAGGCCGCCAGCUCCGGCUCCUCGGAGCCCAGCCUGGCCCUCUGCCCGCACCCGGCGCUCGAUGGGGCCUUUGGGGAGAAGAAAGAUUGUCUAUAGGUAUCAACAUUGCUUUCCUUUUAAAAAUUUUUUUUAUUUUAAACCUCCCCACAAUUCAAACGUUUCUCUUAUUAUCUUCUGCUGAGGGAAAAAAUUAAUAACACAGUGCAAUAUAAAAUACUAAAUUAAAGGCAUCUUGGAACCAGC